rnacentral:rRNA from 1 species
CCUGACCCAGCAACGCCGCGUGGAGGAAGACGGCCUUCGGGUUGUAAACUCCUUUUACGGGGGAAGAGGAAGGACGGUACCCCGAGAAUAAGUCACGGCUAACUACGUGCCAGCAGCCGCGGUAAUACGUAGGUGACAAGCGUUAUCCGGAAUUACUGGGCGUAAAGCGCACGCAGGCGGCGCGAUAAGUCUGAUGUGAAAUCUCCCGGCUUAACUGGGAGGGGUCAUUGGAAACUGUCGUGCUUGAGGCGGUGAGAGGGGUGUAGAAUUCCCGGUGUAGUGGUGGAAUGCGUAGAUAUCGGGAGGAAUACCAGUGGCGAAAGCGACACCCUGGCACUAGCCUGACGCUCAUGUGCGAAGGCGUGGGGAGCGAACGGGAUUAGAUACCCCCGGUAGUCCACGCGGUAAACGAUGAAUACUAGGUGUAGGGG